rnacentral:rRNA from 1 species
ACUGUUGUUAAGGAACUCGGCAAAAUGACCCCGUAACUUAGGGAUAAGGGGUGCCACCAUCAGGUGGCCGCAGAGAAUAGGCCCAAGCGACUGUUUACCAAAAACAGAGGUUUCUGCUAAGUCGCAAGACGAUGUAUAGGGGCUGACGCCUGCCCGGUGCUGGAAGGUUAAGGGGAUCUGUUAGAGCAAUCGAAGCAGUGAACUUAA